UACGAAGGGGGCUAGCGUUGCUCGGAAUCACUGGGCGUAAAGGGUGCGUAGGCGGGUCUUUAAGUCAGGGGUGAAAUCCUGGAGCUCAACUCCAGAACUGCCUUUGAGACUGCAUCGCUAGAAUUGUGGAGAGGUAAGUGGAAUUCCGAGUGUAGAGGUGAAAUUCGUAGAUAUUCGGAAGAACACCAGUGGCGAAGGCGACUUACUGGACACAUAUUGACGCUGAGGUGCGAAAGCGUGGGGAGCAAACAGG
rnacentral:rRNA from 1 species